CCCGACGGAGGGACUUCGCUCGAAACGUCGAAGUUCUCCUUGUAUUUUUCAGUCGCAUUCCUAGUAGGGACCUAGCCAGGAUUAUCAAUCUUCCCGUCCAAAAAUGUUUCUCUUGGAAUAAAUCUUUAUCUUCUAAAAACGUGAUUUUUAGCAGUCAAAAGAACACGUGCAACAUUGCGCUCAAAACUGAAAAGCAAACUGCAUGGUUGACAUCACUAACAUAUCCGCACAAGUUUUUG